rnacentral:tRNA from 1 species
CCAGGCUUCGUCCAACGGCAGGACUUCCGGCCGAUUACCGGAGAAUCGAGGUUCGAGUCCUCGAGCCUGGACCA